rnacentral:rRNA from 1 species
UGCGUAACAGCUCACUGGUCGAGUGGACAUGCGCCGACAAUACACGGGGCUAAGCAUGGCGCCGAAGCGGCGGACUAAAUCAUUUAGUGGUAGGGGAGCUUCCCCGGGGGGGUGAAGCCGGAGGGCGACCUCCGGUGGACCGCCGGGGAGUGAGAAUGCUGGCACGAGUAGCGAGAGCGGGGCGAGAAACCCCGCCGCCGCAAGCCCAAGGUUUCCUGGGCGAUGCUAAUCAUCCCAGGGUCAGCCGGGAGCUAAGGCGAGGCCGAGAGGCGCAGCCGAUGCGCAGCUGGUUGAGAUUCCAGCGCCGCUCCCGCGCCGCUACGACCGAAGGGGCGACGGAGAAGGGCAGCCGGGCGGGGUUCUGGACGUCCCCGUGAAAGCGCGUAGGGGGGUGCGCAUGGAAAUCAGCGCACCACGUGCCCCGAGACGCGAGACGAAGCCUUUCAGGCGAAGCCGGUCAUCCCAUGCUCCCGAGAAAAACCCCUAGGCAGGCGCGGGCGCGCCCGUACCAAGACCGACACAGGUGGGCGGGUAGAACAUACCGAGGCGAUCGGGAGAACCAUGGUCAAGGAACUCGGCACACUGGCCCCGUAACUUAGGGAGAAGGGGCGCCCCCCGGCGUGAAGGAGCUGUGCCUCCGGAGCGCGGGGGGGCCGCAGCGAAACGGCCCAAGCGACUGUUUACCAAAAACACAGGACUCUGCCAAGCCGCGAGGCGAAGUAUAGGGUCUGACGCCUGCCCGGUGCCGGAAGGUUACGCGGAUGCGUUAGCAGCGAUGCGAAGCGCUGAAGCCAAGCCCCGGUAAACGGCGGCCGUAACUAUAACGGUCCUAAGGUAGCGAAAUUCCUUGUCGGGUAAGUUCCGACCUGCACGAACGGCGUAACGACUUGGGCGCUGUCUCGACCAUGGACCCGGCGAAACUGCACUGUUCGUGAAGAUGCGAGCUACCUGCGGAAGGACGGAAAGACCCCGUGAACCUUCACUGCAGCCUGGCAUUGGCCGUUGGUACGGCGUGUAGAGGAUAGGCGGGAGGCUUCGAACCCCGGGCGCCAGCCCGGGGGGAGCCGCCCUUGGAAUACCGCCCUCGCCGUGCCGGCGGCCUAACCCGCGGCCCGAGACCGGGCGCGGGGACCGUGCCAGGCGGGUAGUUUGACUGGGGCGGUCGCCUCCCAAAUCGUAACGGAGGCGCGCAAAGGUCCGCUCAGGACGGUCGGCAACCGUCCCGGGAGCGCAAGAGUGCAAGCGGGCUCGACUGCGAGGCGUACAGGCCGAGCAGGGACGAAAGUCGGCUCUAGUGAUCCGGCGGCUCAGAGUGGAAUGGCCGUCGCUCAACGGAUAAAAGGUACUCCGGGGAUAACAGGCUGAUCUUGCCCAAGAGUCCACAUCGACGGCAAGGUUUGGCACCUCGAUGUCGGCUCAUCGCAUCCUGGGGCUGGAGCAGGUCCCAAGGGUACGGCUGUUCGCCGUUUAAAGCGGUACGCGAGCUGGGUUCAGAACGUCGUGAGACAGUUCGGUCCCUAUCCUCCGCAGGCGCAAGGGAGUUGAGGAGGGCCGCCCCUAGUACGAGAGGACCGGGGCGGACGGGCCUCUGGUGGAGCGGUUGUCGACCAACGGCACCGCCGCCUAGCUACGCCCGGAACGGAUAACCGCUGAAAGCAUCUAAGCGGGAAGCCGGCUCCGAGAUGAGCUCCCUCUUCGGUAAGGGCCCGGGUAGAACACCCGGUCGACAGGCCGCAGCUGCAAGCGCCGCGAGGCGCUCAGGCGAGCGGUGCUGAUAGCCCGAGCUCUUCUUCAC